rnacentral:tRNA from 1 species
AGGGGUAUAGCUCAGUGGUAGAGCGUGUGCCUAGCAUGCAUGAGGUCCGGGGUUCAAUCCCCAGCACCUCCA